rnacentral:rRNA from 1 species
GGGAGUAAAGUUAAUACCUUUGCUCAUUGACGUUACCCGCAGAAGAAGCACCGGCUAACUCCGUGCCAGCAGCCGCGGUAAUACGGAGGGUGCAAGCGUUAAUCGGAAUUACUGGGCGUAAAGCGCACGCAGGCGGUUUGUUAAGUCAGAUGUGAAAUCCCCGGGCUCAACCUGGGAACUGCAUCUGAUACUGGCAAGCUUGAGUCUCGUAGAGGGGGGUAGAAUUCCAGGUGUAGCGGUGAAAUGCGUAGAGAUCUGGAGGAAUACCGGUGGCGAAGGCGGCCCCCUGGACGAAGACUGACGCUCAGGUGCGAAAGCGUGGGGAGCAAACAGGAUU